GCGUUCGUGUGAGAAAGCAGGAAAGUUUAAAAAUCUUUUGUCAUACAGUAUGUGUUGAAGAUUACCACAAACUCACACAAACACAGUUUUUAAUCCAGUCCUCUCUCGACAAUCUGACGUCCAUGUUGACAAAAACAUCGCUUGCUUAAGCUCGCUAUUAAUUAAAGCAAAAUAGGUUAAAAAUUGUAAAAAAAUCAAGCUCUUUAUAACGUACUCGGGUUUGGAUACUUCGACAUUUUUCUCCAAGUCUAAGAAUGUCUUGAAUUGGGCGUAUAGUUAGUUGCUAUGGCAUGUAAUUUUACAUAUAUAUUCACUCUUAUUAUACUAUAUAGCUAAUUCACAUUAUUAAUUAAAGAUAGCUUACAUGCAUGAGUAAGCAAAUAGUUUUAAAGAUGAAAUAGUCCCACAACUAACGUAGCGGACAUGACUCGGCGAGGCGUUGGACGAUUUGUGGUUUGCUGAAACUUGCUAGUUAACGAACUAUAUUGCGUAUAGGGGAAACGAGUCGUAGUUUGUAGUUUCUUUCCCUAGCAGAGCGUAUAAAAGCCUGAGCACAACUAGACAAUUCAUGCAUUAUUCAUAAGGUGAAAGCCUGAAUAGCAACACAGUAAGAAAGCAAAUAAUAAGGAAAUUAAAAGUUAAAGAAAGAAUUAAAAG